ensembl:lncRNA
AUAUGUAGGAUACAAGAGCAGAGGAGAGACUGCCCAAGGACUGCAUCUGAAUGCUUCAAACAAGAGUUCACUGACAGAAGGAGGUCAUUGAAUUAUUAUCUGUACAGGUACCACAAUCAUGGCACCAAUCAGCACCGAUCUCGUAGGCUGGGCGGUCACAGAGCAACCAGAGGCUGCAUUUCUUUCCAUAGUCGUCCUCUUCAUUGUCAGCAUCGCACUCCUCGUUCUCUGUGCAAGCUGUAAAAAACAUUCAUUUGAGUUAGAGAGCCACAGCGUACCCGAGCAGCAGAAAGCAUCCACACUUGUGAGCGUGGCAAAAAUGAAUGAUUCAAGAGGUGCCAGACAAAGCCCUGCUGCUAAUGACAUCACAGAAGAUGAAACCGGUUUAGAGGCGGCGGAGGGUGACGUUGCGUACAAACCCUGGAGAAGUCACACUCUCACUCACGGUUCAAGCCUACAACCUCAAAUAAAUGGUGGUGCUGGGACAACGACUGAGGGUUCGGUGACACGUCAAGCUAUCUGAGAACGUGCAAGCACUUCGGAUGACCCUGUUCUACUUCUAAAAUACUCUCUGAGUGAAAUUUCACAAGACAAUACAAACAUAGAAGUACCUUUCUUAUUAUUUUUUCAUUCAGGUGACAAAAGUGGAGUCGCUGCUGUAGGCGAAACACCACCAACUUUGAAUGGUGGAAAAAAGCCUGCAAAGAGCUCCACCAUCUUUAUUAUGC